GGCUCACAAGCUCUCGAUCACCCCCUCCCGCAAAUUACAAGUAAUUAAUCUUCUUUCUUUCUUCUCUUUUAUAUCCCACCAUUUUAUUCUUUUCUCUGCCACAAUGUCUGGAAAGAAAAAUCUAGGUAAAGCUCUCAAGGAAUAUAUGGCACCCAAACCAAGCCAAGAAGAUGCCAGAAAAGUCCGUUCCAACGGUCUUGUGUUGGAAUAACAAGUCACGCGUCAGCGCAAGGGAUCGAAAUGAAAAAGAAGAGAUAGAUAAAACAAAAAAGAAAUCUCAAAGCCAUUGAUAAUCAAUGGAGUGGAAAUAGGGUUUCCUAAAGAUAAAAUGGUUGGUUUAUUAGCAAUGCUUCAAGAAACGCAGGAAGAAGAGAUAGAUGAUGAAGGGAAAGAAAAAGAACAAAAGGAAAAGGAGAAGAAGACGAGAAGUGAAAAAGAAGGGGAAGAGAAAAUGAGGAGAGAAGACAAAGAAAAGAAAGAAAAAAGAUAGAAAAGGAAGUACGUCAAGGAAGGAAAGAAACCACUUCCUUACCAAUUGCACUCACAGAAUUCAAAAGGGUUGCAAGAAAGGCCCAAGAAAAGGAGCAAGUAAAAUCUAGGCUAUUGAAGAUCAAGCUUAAGGCGUCAAGGCGUCAAGGCGUCAAGGCAUGAGAGAGAAGGGAAACAGGGAGCGGGAAGAGCUCCUCAACAAAGUUAAAAAGAUAGCCCUCUCUGUAGAGAGAGAUAAGACAAAGAAAACUCCAAGCGAACUGUGUGACGAGUUGGAGAAGGAACUGGAAGAUGAAAAUUCUCUAGAAGAGGUGAUAAAACCUUCAAGAAAAAGGAAGGUUACGAUGAAGAAGGUCUUCCAGUCUCUAAUCUUCAGCAUCUCAGUCGGCUUGAUUCCAGAGGCUUCAAUCUUCAACCGUUCGUCAGCGUUCGACGUACGGCAGCUCGUUUUCAGAUGGCCACCAUACGACAGUCUUCUCCGAUUCCAGCGCACGGCUCCAAUCGUCCGAUCUUCAGCGCACAGUUGAGGACAGCCACAGUACGACAGUCUUCUCCUAUUCUAGAAUGCUAUAGGAAAUUUAAACCAGGAACUGUGGAACUCUUGGCAAAACAAUGGAGGGUAGUAACCAAUGGUAAGCAAGUUGCUGAGAACGGCCACCGUCUCACGCACAAGCAACGUUUUAAUCAUAAGUGUUAUGGCUAUGAUGAGAUCCACCUUUGCGGUUGCUCUUCGUAACCUAAGGAGGUUCUCUUCCAGAAGUCCAGUUUCAUCUCCAAUCAAUCAGCACAGGAACUUCCCACCUUCGUUUCUGGCAAGUCUAUCUUCCUAUUUCUGUUCCUUUCUUUGUCUUUUCAUUUUGAGUUCUAAGAUUUCCCUCUGAUUGGAAUGUUUCUCCUCUCUGGUGUAUUGCUUUAGUUGAAAGCUUCGUUUCUGGCAACUAUGGAUGGUUAGUUGAAAGCUUCUCCAAUAUAUGCAUGGGUAUCUAUCAAAUAGUUGAGAAGAUGAUGGAAGACUUAAACGGGGAUGCUCAUCCUGGUUCAAGCGAUAUGGAAAAUCCUUAGGUUAUGGUUGGAGUCAAAGAUAAUGAAGAAUGAUGGGCAGCUAAGAGGUGGAUGCUUUACUAUUCCUUAUCAGCACCACCCUAGGUUUACUUGCCUUAGCUUCUCUCCGUUUUUCUUAUACUAGAGUAUUGUGGUUAGAUUUAAUUGCAGUAGUGAUAUACAUGGACUCAACAUCUCCAUUUAUUCGAUCUUUGUAGUAUGGUUUAUCAAAUUAGUUCUCUAAUGCCAUAUGGAAAAACUACCAUGGUUUUAGUGUAGUUAAAAAACUUUUCCUUUAAUCAUUUCAUAUUUAAAGGUAUGUAUUUGUUUUUUGUUUCUUGAUCUAAUCUCAUAGAUUGUUGAACUGUUUUAUAUAGAACUGGAAUAGAACUGUUUUAAUUUCAUAUUGAACUUCUUAGUUUUUUUUUAUUUUCUUUCCGCACAACUUUGGAAAAUAAGGGUUUUUUAUUUUUCCAAUUAAAUUUUGCUCCAAGUUGGAAAAAUAAAUUCUCUUUCUUUUAGAUUAUGCACAAGCUUUUAGAAGAUUAAAUGAAGUUUAGAAAUGGGAAAAGAGUAAGAAGAUUUUAAGAAGAAAAAGAAAAAAACUCACUUUUUCUUUUUCAUUGUUUUGCAUUGGUUAGAUCUCAAGAAGUUCUUCUGUUUGUUUUUUUUCCUUUUGUUUCUAGCCUCGUUUUGACACCUAUUGUUUAUUUCUCUGUUGCUAUUUGGCUUGCGUUUUUUUCAAUUUGUUUAGAAUGUUGUAGAUUUAUUUCGUGUUUAAUUUUCUUAUUGAAUGUUGGCUAUAGCGCGAUGUUUAUGGAUUGAAGUUGGAUUGUGCUAAUGCUUGAUAAUUUCCUUUUCGAUUGUUUGUUUUGAGGUUACAUAAAUCAUAUUAGGUGUCGUUGGAUCUCUAUAGUUUGACGGUGCAUUUCUGAGUUUAGAUGUGGAAAUGGAUUGAUUUUAAGGAGUUAAGGAUAACAAUCGGUGAGACUUUGAUCAGUUUUUAGUUAUCUAAUAGUGUUGUGGUGCUUAGAGGAGGGUGAUGUCUCUGUUUCUUAUUAUUACAUAUACUUUGUGUUUUAUGAUUAAGAAUGAUGUUCAUAACUCAUUUUGUAAUAUGAACAAGAACAAUAUGUUUCUAUGUUGUAAGUAUAUUGUAAUGACCAACUAUAUGUAUAUGUUCAAUGAUAUA